GCAGUUGUUCUUUUAUUCGUUGUCUGUUCGACCCUGUGCUUAUCAUUCUUUAUCGUCAUUAUCUACAUCUGAAUAUUGUUUCUAGAUCUGGAAUAAUUAUCUGAAAAUUUGUAUGGAGAUGCACCAGAUUGUAGGACAACCAAAAAAUAUAUAUGC
rnacentral:pre_miRNA from 1 species